rnacentral:rRNA from 1 species
UACGUAGGGUGCAGGCGUUAAUCGGAAUUACUGGGCGUAAAGCGUGCGCAGGCGGUUCUAUAAGACAGAUGUGAAAUCCCCGGGCUCAACCUGGGAACUGCAUUUGUGACUGUAGAGCUGGAGUACGGCAGAGGGGGAUGGAAUUCCGCGUGUAGCAGUGAAAUGCGUAGAUAUGCGGAGGAACACCGAUGGCGAAGGCAAUCCCCUGGGCCUGUACUGACGCUCAGGCACGAAAGCGUGGGGAGCAAACAGG